rnacentral:rRNA from 1 species
UGGCAACAUUUCUUUUGUUGUCCGAGUUGUAAUUUCAAGAAGCUGCUUUGAGUGUAGACGAUCGGUCUAAGUUCCUUGGAACAGGACGUCAGAGAGGGUGAGAACCCCGUCUUUGGUCGAUUGGAUAUGCCAUAUAAAGCGCUUUCGAAGAGUCGAGUUGUUUGGGAAUGCAGCUCUAAAUGGGUGGUAAAUUUCAUCUAAAGCUAAAUAUUGGCGAGAGACCGAUAGCGAACAAGUAGAGUGAUCGAAAGAUGAAAAGAACUUUGAAAAGAGAGUUAAAUAGUACGUGAAAUUGCUGAAAGGGAAGCAUUGGAAAUCAGUCUUACCUGGGUGAGAUCAGUAGUCUCUUCGCGAGACUAUGCACUCUGAACCUGUGGAAGGUCAGCAUCAGUUUUCGGGGGCGGAAAAACAAUAAGGGAAGGUGGCUUUCCGGGUUCUGCCUGGGGAGUGUUUAUAGCCCUUGUUGNANUACGUCCNCUGGGGACUGANGACUGCGNNUUCNNGCCAAGGAUGCUGACNUAAUGGUUUU